CUUGUACUUGUCCUUUAAAUAGCAACUGAAGGAAGGACAAUCAGAUGUUUUCUCAUUUCUUCUUAUCCCAUGUUUAAUCCUUAUUACUCCCUCCCCUCCUUAUUCCAGCCCAGCAAAAGGGCUGUCCCUUUUGCUAACCCUGCUGAGUAUCUCAGCGGUCUUCUUGCAAUUUGCACAGUGAUGCAAUGAGGGUUAUUAAAAGGUAGUUAGUAAAGCGGAGCAGGCAGGCUGUUCUAAACUUAGCGUAACCUGAAGCAAGCAAUGAAGUACCCUCUGGUUCCUUUAGUGAAUGACCAGACCUUUCAUCUUCUUUUCUUCUGGCUUUGUUUGCCAUUUGUAAUGCUGUUGAUCAUAAUCAUUAUCUGGCUACAACUUCUACUUAAUGAAGUACAGGCUCCUAAUGCAGAAGAAAUCAAGGAACAAUAUUCUGAUGAGCCUGAUUCUGACUCUAAAUUUGAGGAUGAUCUAACAGAGGAAGAAAACCAGAAUGAUUCAUCCAGCAUAGAAACACAAGAGGAGAUGCAAUCCAGGGGAUCUCUGGGUAAACUGAAGCCAAAACCGGCUUAUCUGAGUUCAAAACUGAAAAGCCAAAAACCAAGUUUUCUUGCCGCAAUCUCAAACAGCUGGUCUCAGAGCCAGAAGAUAAGACGUUCCCGUGUUGAGAAGAAUGUUCUCUGCAACAUUGUGAUGCUCCUGUGCACCAUGCUUUCUUCUCUCAUCUGGAACUUUGUCUGCCAGUUGUUCCACAUCUCUAAUGUCCUGAGGAUUCUACUGCUGCCAUCCUCUCUGAUUAUCUCCAUGGCUCAGCUGUUUGUUUUGCUGUCUGUGAAAAUCCUUGGCUCCCUGAGGCUGGAAGUCAGGGGUCUGUUGGCUUCAGUCUUGGGGAGGAGAUAUAAGUGAACUGGAACAGACUGAUGAAGCUCAGAAAAUCACCUCAGGGUGGAAAUAAAGCAGGUGGUUCCACAGCCA
rnacentral:lncRNA from 1 species